AUUCCUGUCAGAAAACGAAACACGACCUCGUCGUUCUCAUUGACAAUCCCCAAAUCGCCGGCCGGCCGGCCCCCUCCACCGCUGCCGCCGCGAGUUCUUUCUUCUCCUACCCCCGAGCGAUCUGCUUUUUAUCCAUCCCUGAUCUCUUGGCGGACGCCUGCGCCACCGUGGAGUAGAGGCGGUGGCCGCCUUGCCGGACGGAGAGGGAGGAGGAGGUCGCCGGAGGACGAGGGGAAUGGAGGCCACGCGCUCCUUGGGGCGACGUUCCCGUCCCAUCCUCGUUCGCUGGCGACGCACGCGCGGCGGACCGCUGGGGGGCGCCGGCGACCACCGACUGCGGUAAGAGCGCUACUGCCUGUCUGUACUGCAAAGUAGAUAAAUUUAGUCCCACAUCGCAGAUUCACUACGGAUCCCACUGAUGGCAUUGAUAAAUCAAUCUCCGUUUCUUGCGAUGCAAUGGCACUGAGAUUGAUGGAGCGCUUCGGCGUGACCGCACGGCAAUAUGAUACUUCCUUCGUCCCGAAUUACUUGUCGCAGGUAUGGAUGUAUCUAGAUGUAUUUUAGUUCUAGAUACAUCCAUUUUUGCGACGAGUAAUUUGGAACGGAGGGAGUAGCUGAGAAAAUUUCUACAUCAAGGGAGGACAAAAAUUCAAGUAAGUCUUAAAUUGUCCUCGGUUAUUCUACUUCCCCCUAAUAACCUUUGAGCUGUUCUGUUUAGUCAAACAGUGUAGCAAUAUAAGAAGUUCCAUUUUUCAGUUUGCCUAAACAGUUAUUGAUGCACCUACAUUUGAAAUAUAGAGAAAUAAGGAAGUAAAACUUGUAAAAAAAAGCACUUAACUGCUUAAAUAAUUUUAUUCUUCUGAAACAUCUGGCCAUACUAAGUACUCACUCCGUCCGGAAAUACUUGUCGUACAAAUAGAUAAAAUUGAAUGUAUCUAGAACUAAAAUACGUCUAGAUACAUCCAUUUCCACGACAAGUAUUUCCGGACGGAGGGAGUAUGAAGUACGUACUUAUUGGACUGAUAUGCUUCCACGGAACCCUCUCAGAGGAACAUUAUGACGAUUGUUGCAUCUCCGGUUAUGCUUAGGUCUCGAACUUUCAGGAUUUAAGUCUAUAAGAUAUAUAGACUAUUUUAGGAAUCAUUCGAGUUUUCCUCGGAUUUUUACCUUUUAAGUGUUGUUGUUGGAUCGAUCUUUUAUCCCAUAUAUACUUGGAACUGUAGUUCAAAAAGCCAUAGCUAAUUUGACACACUCCACCACAAUGUUUGUUGGAUGAGCAGUAGUUUUGGUGGAUCUUCACGACAAAGACAUUAUUGUGGUUAUAUUGAUCCCUAGAUUUCUUCUUUAUUGUAAGUCACAUGAGUAUACCCAAGACUUCCAUAGCAGCUCAAUAAACAUGUAUAAUGUAGUUAGUUUGGAGAGAAUGACCUUUCUCAGUGAAAUCAUCUAUUUCAGAUUCAUUUGUUUCUUAAUCUUACAACUCAUGUCAGGUAUCAUUGCUGACAAAAAAUCAGCCUCACAUGUCGAUUAUGUUAUAACCAAGUUGAAGGGUUCAAUCUGAAGCAACUGUCGCGGUUAGUGACACCAUUGAAUUCUAAUAAUUAAUCCCUACUAGACAAGAAACUGUGUCACCAACUCAACUUUGCUCUAGGAAAAUCAAAUCAAUAGAACAUUCUGUGAUUUUAUUUUUGCAAACAUUACGGAGAAACGCAUCCAGGUUGUGAUGCACUGAUGCACAUACCAAAUGAUGUUUACACAUCAAUUGACGACGGUGGUAACAAAUUAGUACACUGGUUCCAGCAAAAACAAGCAUGGAAGCAAAAUUAGAUUAUAGUUGUAGCAAAAAACAUUGUCGUCACUGUCACGAGAGGCAGAGUGGUCAAUUGGUUGUAGCAAAUUUUGUGGCCGGUCGUAGCAAAAACCAACAAUGGGCGGUCGCCUCCUGUGCUCGUGCGGAGAGCCACAGAGAAAAAAGGAAGGGGAGGUGGUGGGUCAGGCACACGUGGGUUACAUGGGGCGACUAGUCAAACCUGUGUGGGAGCAAACUCGGUCCGCUGGAUUGUGCGCUAUCGCACGGCAAGCGAGCGACCGGCGCAGUUUUCGGCCGGCGCGCCGUCGUUUACAUUUCCCCCCAAAAAAAGGAGUACUGCUCGCUCGUGCGUUCGCCUACGAGUCUGGAACAUAAUUAUGUUCCACCCUGUAUAUACGAACAGUUCCGUUGACGAGAAAAUCCAUAUUUAAAAUGCACAUUGACCCCGUAUACACGAACAGGUUCCGCUGACGAGAAAAUCCAUAUUUAAAAUACACAUUAAGAAAAUGGGCUCACUAACCCUGAUGGCUACAUGCGUCCGGUUGAUGACUUGGUUGGUGUACAUAUCCAAGUCUCCAACUCGCCGUGCCUCGACGACCACCAUGCCUGACAAGCUGCUUAUGGCCACAAGCCAGGGUGAUGGCAAUCUGGCCUUGUACACAUCCAGCAACGGAGGUUCUGAUGAUGUAGAGGAAGGUGGUGCUCUGCCUGCACCAUCAUCGCUCCUUGAGGGGGUGACUGUCGAAGGGGACACUGCACUCCACGCGGUGGCUACCUGCGGCCGUGGCGAUGACUUCCUGAGGAGCGCAGACAUCAUCCACAGAAAGGCGCGAAACCUCCUGUUCGUGCAGAACAAGAAGGGAGACACACCCGUGCACUGCGCGGCGAGGGCCGGGAAUCUCAAGAUGGUCUCUUGUCUCAUUCGUCUGGCUAAAUCGGGAGGGGAGGCUGUUUCUCGAGUGAAGUCGCUGCUGGAGAAGGAGAACAAGCUUAAGGGGACGGCCUUGCAUGAGGCCGUCCGGAUUGGGAAGGUGGAGAUGGUGGAGCGGCUGAUGAAGGAGGACCAGGACUUGGCCGGUUUACACGAAAAAGGGGUUUUCCCCCGCUUUAUAUUAUAAAGCAACGAACCGAGCAUCCAGCAUAACAGUACAGAGAGUAAUCAAGUCAAAGUCAUGCUGGGGGCACAACAAGACAAGCCCCAAACAUGACUUGGCCGGUUUUCCGAGAACCGGUGGGACCUCGCCGAUGUACCUGGCCAUCUUGCUGGGUAAUAGAGUCAUCGUUAAGAAACUGUAUAAAAUGAGUGAUUACGGUACAAGUCUUUCCUACUCCGGCCCAAAUGGACAAAAUGCAUUACAUGCUGCUGCUACCCGAGGACGAGUAUUUACUAAGAAGCUGUUAAAGUGGAACAAGGCCCUUUCAGCGCAAAAGGAUGAAACAGGGUGUAUGCCUCUUCACUUCGCCGCGGCCAAGUCGCCAAACUCAUCUUAUUCAACACAGUUUCAUGACGAUCUGCAUGAAUGGCGAAAGAGCAAUUCAACCAUCGCCAGACAAAUGCGCAAGAGGCUCUUGUCUCUAUUGAGGAUGGAUGGCUGGCCAAAAGUCUGCCUCAAGCUGCUCGAAGCAAACCCAGCCGCGUUGUAUGAGCCAGACCACCGUGGGUCAUAUCCGAUACACGUAGCUACCUCAGUGGGCGCGACCAGGAAGGUUCUCCUGUUUCUUAACAGGCACCCUGGGAGUGCCGGCCUGCGCGAUGCGCGUGGCCGGACUUUCCUGCAUGUCGCCGUCGAGAAGAUGGCUGUGGGGAUCCUGUAUCAUGCUACCAGGGAUAAGUCGCUAGAAUGGAUUCUCAACAUGCGCGACAAGGAUGGGAACACGGCAUGCACCUUGCAGUCCAAGGUGGGAGACUUCGAGUGUUCUGCCGUCUGCUUGGGAAUCUGAAGGCAGGCCUGGAUUUGCCAAAUGCAAAAGGGGAAACCUGUCAUUAAUUUAUCACGGUAUAAGGUUCCUCCAGGAUUGUAUUACAGCCAGGUAAUCUAUCAUUCGACUCCCUCUUUUUUGGCAACGUUCAAGCGUUGCCACUGGUGGAAUUAGUUCAAACGUUCAAGGCAAGAACUCGGAAGCAUGUAUCCGUCGUGCACUCACGAUGGUCGGUGCUCGGAGCGGCACUUCUCGCGAGGAUCACUUCGAGGAAAAAUACGAGAGAAAUCACCAGCUAAAACCGGAAGAGAAAAACAGAGAAUCAGAUAGCUUGAAGGAUGCAACACAGACUUUGAGCAUCGGGUCUGUGCUGAUAGCGACGGUGACGUUUGGCGCCACAUUCGCACUGCCUGGUGGUUACAAGGCGGACGAUCGUCCCAACGGUGGCUCACCGACGCUCGCAGGCACGUACGGCUUCGACGCGUUCAUGAUGGCCAACACGCUGGCCUUCAUCUGCUCCUCGAUGGCCACGGUCGGCUUCAUGUUCUCCGGGACUCCCAUGGUUAACAGGAGGAGCCGAAAGUUCCACCUCAGCUGCUCCGUGUAUUUCAUGGAGGCUUCAGUCACGAGCCUGACGGCCGCAUUCGCGCUGGGGGUGUACUUGGUGCUGGCUCCCGUCGCUUACAAGACCGCCAUUGCCAUUUGUGCCGUUAGCCCUUUUGUGUUGCUCUGGAAAAAUGUUGAUUGUUGGAAGAGAUGGAUUCGUUUUGCUGGACCCUUUUGGGUUAGGAAGAGGCUAUUUUGGACCUUGCAAGAGUUUGUACGGCAGUUCGUGUGGAGCAUACUGCUUGAACUUUGGCCCCUCGUGAUUAUCUUCUGUUGGGCAGCAUUCGCAAAUACUGGCACACACUUUUAAUCAUCGACCAGCUUGAAGAGGCAUCAGUCAAAUAUGGGCGUGAUUACUGCGAGAAAUAAAUUGUGGAGAACUGGAGGUCCGCAGAAAUGCCACGUCGAGGAGGAGCAAUGGGCUCUGCUUCAUGGCUUAGCCAGUAGCGAGAAAUCUCCAUGAGAGCAGUGCCCAGGUUCGUCGCUGUUUCUCAAUUGUUUAUGUGGCUGAUGAUUGUUUAUACUGCAAGUAUUUUUGGUCGAAGUGAACAUAGGUUUUUUAAUCCUUUAUAUUACUGAUGAUUUUGGCUUCCUGACACCCAGGCCAGAUUAGUUGUUCAAGAUUGUUAUCAUUAUCAAGGUAGAGGCUAGAAAGGGUACAAUGCCACAGGGGGGAAUGCAGCAUUAUAUUGUGUUCUUAGUGGGUUUUAUUGCCAGUUUUUUUUAAGAUACGCGUAUGAUGCCACAUAUUACGUUGUGACUAGAGAAUAAUAAUGGUUCCGCAAUGGAUCACGUAUGUAGCAUUUUCUUUCAGGAGGGAAAAUCGCGUAGCUACUAACACAAGGUCAGUUCAGUUUUUUGUCUUAGAUGCUAGAUGAAGGGACGCCGGAUAGUGGUGCUUCCUCACACUGCUGGCAUGUCGUUGUUCUUUGAGCUUGAUCUAGAAAUGACGUGCGGGGCAAAACAUGACAGAGAUGUGCGGCAUGGCCUGACUCUACUCUUGGGUUCUAGCCAUGUGAUGUUCCUCGACGGGGCCUAUAACGUCACUUCGCUAAAAUGACCACUGCAGGAGAAUUUUAAGUUGUGGCAGUCAUUAUGCGGAAUCCCACCUUGUGGGUGUGAAGAGAAUUUCAUCCUGAAUAAGAUGGAAUUAAGAGUACUCACCGUGCGUUUGGUAAAUGGUCACCAUGGGUUCGAAUUAGCCCUGCUGGAAGGUCAGCAGUCAGCACUACAAAGGUUUCAGCUUGGCAAAGAAGUUGUUUCAGCCCUGUAGACAAUGAGAGCAGCCACACUUGUGGAGAAUGUCGUCAUGGUGGCGUGGCGGCUUCCGUCCCGGUGUUCUCAUCAUCGGGUUUAUAAUAAAAAGAAGAUUGUUCUCACAGUUUUGAAUCCAAGGGUCUGUCAAGAAGGUCUCAGUGCUUGUCAGCAGUGUUCUAUUUAUUGUGACAUCCACAUUCCAUGGAAGAGUUAAAUUCUGGUCGUUUACCCAUUAUCCUUGCAAGUUUUUACACAGGUUCAAUGGUGUGCUCGGCUUCGUACAAGUGCAUUUUGAACCUUCUUAAUUAACAUCAGCCGGGGAGAUGGUGAGUUCCUGGUCACUUUGUAUGCUUGCACAUCCAUUUGGGUUAUGAAGAUAUUCGGGGUGUCCGUAGAACAUGUUUUCACAGAACACUAUCACAUGGAUUCCUAGCAGCUCCGGGAAGUGCAUGUGGCUUUAUGAAGAGUAGGGCUAAAUACUGUGGAACUGAA